AUUGUAGCUGAAAAAAUUCAUUUUUUGACACAUUGUUUUCUUUAGCAACCAUACUUCUUAUUUUGUAGUUGUGUUGUUUCUUUGAAUAAUAUUGAUUACUUUAUUUAGCUUCUCUACAAUAUAAGCAUAAACCCUCUUGAUGUAGUUAAGUCUUUUUCUACUAUGUAAAAAAUUUAAAAUAUAUCGUUAAAUUUGUAUUGAUUAUAGGAUUGAUGAAUAAGUUUUUGAUAACUUAAAAGGUGCUAUCAUUAUUUGAUUUGUUCCUCUCUACCUAAGUCUCUAUUCUUAAUGUCUUUAAAAUAAUUGAUUGUUACAUGUAAUGGUUUAAAUAAUAAAUUCUUUCAAAGAUCCUACUUUUGGCAUUGUGAACAAUAAAUAUUUAAUAUUAUUCUU
rnacentral:lncRNA from 1 species